AUUAUACUCCCUCCGUCCCANNNNNNUUGUCUUAGAUUUGUCUAAAUAUGAAUGUAUCUAGUCACGUUUUAGUAUUUAGAUACAUUAAUUUAUAGACAAACCUAAGACAAGAAUUUUGAGAUGGAGGGAGUAGA
rfam:Hordeum vulgare subsp. vulgare, WGS project CAJW01000000 data, contig: morex_contig_2608325